rnacentral:rRNA from 1 species
ACAUGCAGUCGAGGGGUAUAAGAGAGCUUGCUUUCUUAGAGACCGGCGCACGGGUGCGUCACUCGUAUGCAAUCUACCUUACUCAGGGGGAUAGCCCGAAGAACUUCGGAUUAACACCGCAUAACAUAUAGUUCCGGCAUCGGAGUUAUAUCAAAUAUUCAUAGGAGUAAGAUGAGCAUGCGUGACAUUAGCUAGUUGGUAAGGUAACGGCUUACCAAGGCGACGAUGUCUAGGGGAUCUGAGAGGAUGACCCCCCACACUGGUACUGAGACACGGACCAGACUCCUACGGGAGGCAGCAGUAAGAAAUAUUGGUCAAUGGGCGCAAGCCUGAACCAGCCAUGCCGCGUGCAGGAAGACGGCCCUACGGGUUGUAAACUGCUUUUGUACCGGAAUAAACCUGAUUAUGUAUAGUCAGCUGAAUGUACGGUAAGAAUAAGGAUCGGCUAACUCCGUGCCAGCAGCCGCGGUAAUACGGAGGAUCCAAGCGUUAUCCGGAUUUAUUGGGUUUAAAGGGUGCGUAGGCGGCUUUUUAAGUCAGGGGUGAAAGACGGUAGCUUAACUAUCGCAGUGCCUUUGAUACUGAAGAGCUAGAAUUAAGUUGAGGUAGGCCGAAUGUGACAAGUAGCGGUGAAAUGCAUAGAUAUGUCACCGAACACCGAUUGCGAAAGGCGCUUAAUAAACUUAGAUUGACGCUGAUGCACGAAAGCGUGGGGAUCAAACAGGGAUAGAUACCCCUGGAAGUCCCCGCCCCCAAACGAAGAACCCUCCGAUGUUGGGGAUAAACAAGCCGCGUCCCAACCGAAAGCGAAAAAGUGGUUC